ACGAUUCAUAAUGGAAAGGAACAUAUACCUAUUUACAUAACAAAUCCUAUGGUAGGUCGCAAAUUGGGGGAAUUCGUACCUACUCGGCAUUUCACGAGUUAUGAAAAUUCAAGAAAGGAUACUAAAUCUCGUCGUUAACUGAAUUCAGAAUAGAAAGAUUCAGAAUAAAAAAAAGAUGCAAAGUAAAGGUAGGCGGGGAAUAACCUUAUUUAUGACAAGUUUCAAAUUAGUAAAGUAUAUCCCUAGGAUAAAGAAGAAGAAAAGUGGGCUAAGGAAACUUGCAAGGAAAGUUCCAACCGAUCGUCUACUUAAGUUCGAGCGAGUUUUCAAAGCACAAAAACGUAUCCAUAUGUCUGUCUUCAAAGCACAAAGGGUUCUUGAUGAGAUUCACUGGCGUUACUAUGAGGAAACAGUUAUGAUACUGAACCUCAUGCCUUAUCGAGCAUCUUAUCCCAUCUUAAAGUUGGUUUAUUCGGCAGCAGCAAACGCUGCUCAUUAUAGGGAUUUCGACAAAGCGAAUUUAUUCAUAACUAAAGCCGAAGUCAGUAGAAGUACUAUUAUGAAAAAAUUCAGACCUCGGGCUCGAGGGCGCAGUUUCCCCAUAAAAAAAAGCAUGUGUCAUAUAACAAUUGCACUAAAUAUAGUAAAGAGACCUAAAUAACCCUUAGAUCCAGCUAAGAUUUCGAUUCCCAGUAAAAAAAAAUAGAAUAGAAAAAUAUGGGACAAAAAAUAAAUCCACUUGGUUUCAGAAUUGGUACAACCCAAAAACACCAUUCCUUUUGGUUCGCACAACCAAAAAAUUAUUCUGAGGGUCUACAGGAAGAUAAAAAAAUAAGGAAUUGUAUCAAGAACUAUAUACAAAAAAAUAGGAAAAAGGGCUCGAAUAGAAAAAUAGAAUCAGACUCAAGUUCCGAAGUAAUUACACAUAAUAGAAAAAUGGACUCAGGUUCAAGUUCCAAAGUAAUUACACAUAUAGAAAUUCAAAAAGAAAUUGAUAUGAUCCAUGUCAUAAUCCAUAUAGGAUUUCCAAAUUUAUUAAAGAAAAAGGGAGUAAUCGAAGAAUUAGAGAAAGAUCUACAAAAAGAAAUUAACUCUGUAAACCAAAGACUUAAUAUUUCUAUCGAAAAAGUUAAAGAGCCUUAUAUACAACCUAACAUUCUUGCAGAAUAUAUAGCUUUUCAAUUAAAAAAUCGAGUUUCAUUCCGAAAGGCAAUAAAAAAAGCAAUUGAAUUAACUAAAAAAGCAGAUAUAAGGGGAGUCAAAGUAAAAAUAGCGGGUCGUCUCGGAGGAAAAGAAAUUGCACGUACGGAAUGCAUCAAAAAGGGUAGACUUCCUCUCCAAACAAUUCGCGCUAAAAUUGAUUAUUGUUGCUAUCCAAUUCGAACUAUCUAUGGAGUAUUAGGUGUAAAACUUUGGAUAUUCGUAGAUGAAGAAUAACUAAUCUUGUCUUCGCAUUCUGUGCAGUGGUAGAAUAAAAAAUGACAAGAGCCUUUUUUCCCGAAAUCCCUAAAAAAAGAAGAAAUUAUACCUCUUUCUAUAAGAUUUAAUGAAAAUUGAUAAAUCAUUUAACAUAAUUGCUAUGCUUAGUAUGUGACUCGUUAUUUUUUUCUUUUUUUAAAGAAAAAAUUUAGUAAUUAUAGAAAAUUAACUAAUAACCAACCUAUUGCUUCGUAUUGUCGAGAUCCUAACUAAGAAGCAGUCACUAUCGGAAUAAAUAUCUCUAUCAUAAAUGAGUAGAUCUAUCAUAUAGUUGUAGCAACUGCAAUUUUUUCUCUAAAAAAGAAACGAGAUUCUAGGUUCUGAAGCAAAACUAAAGGGAUGUAGAUAAAGGGAAAGAUGAUAGAAAGAAGAAUAAGUAAGAUAUAGGAUUCCAAUAUGUAUGGUCUAUGAAUUGCAUCAAAAAAGGCAAUGUGAUAAAGCAUCAAUAUAAUAUAAUAAAAAUAACAGAGAAUUAGAAAUCGUAACUUGAAACAAGAACUACAAAUUUAAAGCAAUAAUUAAAGAGCCACCCGGGUUAAUAAAACUGAGAAAAUUAACUCGGAAAGACAUUUUUUUGAAGCUCCGUUGCGGGAUUCAGACCUAACAG
rnacentral:lncRNA from 1 species